rnacentral:rRNA from 1 species
AACGAACGCUGGCGGCAGGCCUAACACAUGCAAGUCGAGCGAAGCCCUCGGGCUUAGCGGCGGACGGGUGAGUAACGCGUGGGAACGUGCCCUUUGGUACGGAAUAGCCCCGGGAAACUGGGAGUAAUACCGUAUGUGCCCUUCGGGGGAAAGAUUUAUCGCCAAAGGAUCGGCCCGCGUUGGAUUAGGUAGUUGGUGGGGUAAUGGCCUACCAAGCCGACGAUCCAUAGCUGGUUUGAGAGGAUGAUCAGCCACACUGGGACUGAGACACGGCCCAGACUCCUACGGGAGGCAGCAGUGGGGAAUCUUAGACAAUGGGGGAAACCCUGAUCUAGCCAUGCCGCGUGAUCGAUGAAGGCCUUAGGGUUGUAAAGAUCUUUCAGGUGGGAAGAUAAUGACUGUACCACCAGAAGAAGCCCCGGCUAACUCCGUGCCAGCCGCCGCAGUAAGAC